rnacentral:rRNA from 1 species
GUUUGAUCCUGGCUCAGGAUGAACGCUAGCGGCAGGCCUAAUACAUGCAAGCCGAACGGCAAGAUUUUCAGCAAUGGAAAUCCUAGAGUGGCGUAAGGGUGCGUAACACGUAUGCAAUCUACCCUCAACAGGAGGAUAGCUCCCCGAAAGGGGAAUUAAGACUCCAUAAGAUAUCAGAGUGGCAUCACUUAGAUAUUAAAGUACAAGCGGUUGAGGAUGAGCAUGCGCAUGAUUAGUUAGUUGGCGGGGUAAUGGCCCACCAAGACGAUGAUCAUUAGGGGAACUGAGAGGUUGAUCCCCCACACUGGCACUGAGAUACGGGCCAGACUCCUACGGGAGGCAGCAGUAGGGAAUAUUGCGCAAUGGGCGAAAGCCUGAUGCAGCGACGCCGCGUGAGGGAUGACGGCCUUCGGGUUGUAAACCUCUUUCAGCUCCGACGAAGCGAAAGUGACGGUAGGAGCAGAAGAAGCACCGGCCAACUACGUGCCAGCAGCCGCGGUAAUA